rnacentral:lncRNA from 1 species
AAAAUUUUCAGUUUCUUAAACUGAUUUUAGAAGACCAUAAGGCCCUUCUCUACACCGCCGUCAACAGAUGGUUCGGCCGACUCAAAUUCCUGCACCAAAUCCGGCCCGGAUUCAGGCGAGGGAAUCAUAGAUCACCACCGCGGCGUAUCCUUGAAGGUACAAUUUCGCCUUUUCCUUUGUUUUGUUCAAAAAACGAUGAAUAGACAAACAUAAAAACGAAAGAAAAAACAGAUGGGAUUCACCUCUUUCAAGUUUAAUUUCUACUGCUUUUCUUUGUAUUUUUCUCCUUCUCUUAUUGAUCCUUUUUCUUUUUUACAGAUUUUCAAAGGCUUUUAUAGCCCGAAAAAUCGAAAGAAAAAAAACAAAUAUUAAUUAUUCUUGCUGUUUCUUCUCUCUGGGACUCUUUGAGUUCGUUUUGCAGGUAUUUGUGGCGAGAAACGUGUGCGUGGAGGGGAGAUCGGCCCCGAGACGUGCGCCGAUUGGAGUCUUACUGGCGGCGCUGGAGGUAGUGGCUGGUGGGGCGUUUGAAGAGCGGCUAGGGUUUUGUUCUUUUUGUUUUUUGUUUUGCUGUAUUGGCUAUUGGGUUUGGGCCAAUUGACUGGGCCUGAACUGUUUUCUUUUUGUGUUUGGACCCAAGCCGAUUGGGCCUUAUUACAAUGUGAAUGAGAUUUUUUUCCCCCUUUGAUAUGGUCUGAGUUUCAUACAUCACAUGGCUUUCUUAAUUUUUAAUGUUGUUUUGAUUUUAUUUUCAAAUUUUUUGUGAUCAUUUUCUUUGAUUAUAAGAAUUUUAUAUAUCAAUAAAUUUAUCCUUUACUAAUAAAUGAUUGGAAAAGUGGUAGUAAACUUUUUCUUCAAACAUUUAAACUCAAAUUAAAUCUCGAAACUAUUAUUGUUGAAUGACU